UAAGCAUAUCAAUAAGCGGAGGAAAAAGAAACUAACAAGGAUUCCCCUAGUAACUGCGAGUGAAGCGGGAAAAGCUCAAAUUUAAAAUCUGGCAGUCUUUGGCUGUCCGAGUUGUAGUCUGGAGAAGUGUUUUCCGCGCUGGACCGUGUACAAGUCUCUUGGAAUAGAGCGUCAUAGAGGGUGAGAAUCCCGUCUUUGACACGGACCGCCAGUGCUUUGUGAUGCGCUCUCAAAGAGUCGAGUUGUUUGGGAAUGCAGCUCAAAAUGGGUGGUAAAUUCCAUCUAAAGCUAAAUAUUGGCGAGAGACCGAUAGCGAACAAGUACCGUGAGGGAAAGAUGAAAAGCACUUUGGAAAGAGAGUUAAACAGUACGUGAAAUUGCUGAAAGGGAAACGCUUGAAGUCAGUCGCGUUGUCCAGAACUCAGCCUGGCUUUUGCUUGGUGCAUUUUCUGGAUAACGGGCCAGCAUCAAUUUUGAUCGUUGGAUAAAGGUCUUGGGAAUGUGGCACCUUCGGGUGUGUUAUAGCCCUUGAUUGCAUACAACGAUUGGGAUUGAGGAUCUCAGCAUGCCUUUAUGGUCGGGGUUCGCCCACGUUCAUGCUUAGGAUGCUGGCGUAAUGGCUUUAAUCGACCCGUCUUGAAACACGGACCAAGGAGUCUAACAUGCCUGCGAGUAUUUGGGUGGUAAACCCGAGUGCGCAAUGAAAGUGAAAGUUGGGAUCUCUGUCGCGGAGAGCACCGACGCCCGGACCAGAUCUUUUGUGACGGUUCCGCGGUGGAGCAUGUAUGUUGGGACCCGAAAGAUGGUGAACUAUGCCUGAAUAGGGUGAAGCCAGAGGAAACUCUGGUGGAGGCUCGUAGCGAUUCUGACGUGCAAAUCGAUCGUCAAAUUUGGGUAUAGGGGCGAAAGACUAAUCGA
rnacentral:rRNA from 1 species